CCUGUGGUUGCUCUUUGUGCUCAAGUCUUCUCUUGACCCUGUUCUUAGAACCAGGCACCCCAACACCUGCUGGAACCUGAGGGUUGAGAAUUUGCUGUUUGAAAGAGGGUGGCAACUGCCCCUUCCCCUGCCUCCCUGACCUCAACUCCUACUCCUCACUGCCCUGGGCUGCCCUCAUGUGGAGUGUGGUGCCCCCUUAUUUCUGCAGGGCUCACUCCCUCACCUCCUGUUCGGAUGUCACUUUCCCAGGGAGGCCUCCUCCAACCUCCCUGUUCGAACCUGCACUUCACUCUAUCUCCCUUCUAUGCUUCAUCGUCCUCCACGCCAUUUACCUCUAAAAUCACUUCUUACCUUUUACUCACUACCUGCACGUCACCUCCUUUAGGUCAACAUCCGUUUCGUUCACUGGUCUGUCCCCACUGCCUAGAACGUGCCUGACACACACAUCCAUCAAUAUUUGUUAAAUGAAGGAAAGGGGCUUCCCUGAUGGCUCAGAUGCUAAAGGGUCUGCCUGCAGUGCGGGAGACCGGCUUCGAUCCCUACCUAGAGAGAAAGACAGGGGGCAGGGACAAAUGGGGGAGGCUAGGCUUUCACCAAGGUCUUUGGGCAGGGCCCACCUCUCACCACCUCUCACCACCCCUCCUCUGGACCCAGUCCGCCCUCUCCCCUACAGGUGGGGGCCCGGGGUUACCGGGCUGGGGAUUUCGUCAACCCCGCUUCCUUGUCGCCCACCUACCCCUGAAGCUAGGGCUGCGGCGAGGGCGGAGGCGGGGGCCCGGAGCUGGGGCCACGCGUCCGGGAUCGGAAGGGGGCCGAGCCUCCCUCGGGCGGGCGGCGGGCAGAGUGGGGAGGGCGCCUCGCGGGGGAGGAGCUGGGGGCAGGGAGCGAGGAGCGGCGGCGGGCGCGGGAAGGGGAGCCUAGAGCCGGAGCCGCAGGGCGCCGGGAGGUGGGCAUCGCGAGGGCGCGGGGCCAGGGCAGGGCCCCCGGGGCGGCGGGGCGGGCGGCGCGCCCCAGGCUCCACUGGGGAGGUCGCGGCGGAGAUGCGGCGGCCGCCGGCGGGGAGACGAAGCGCUGGCCGAAGACGAGGACCCGGGCCGGCGAGCCCGCGGUCCGCACCUGCGUGCCCGGGAGCGGGAAAUGAAUUCCUGUUGUAAGUACCCUGCUCAUCCAGUCUGGAGAAGUCAGUGUCUCCCCUGUCCUGAAAACGGUUUCACUCCAUCCAUCAGCUCAACUGCUUUCUGGGGACCCAGAUGUGUAGCAUCUGGCGGGAAGGGGCAAGUUGAGCUCCAGGACCAGAGGCUGCGGCCCUAAAGGUUUCUUGCAGAGUGUGGUCUGCUUUGCAAGUCUGCUCCCAGGAUUACUUCCCUCGUGUGGAAGCUCAAAUGGGAAGCGGGGAGAGGAUGUGACAAUGCCAAAAGCGUGUGGUGUGACUUGGCUGUGACAGCGUCUGGAUACACCUGUCCUGAAUGCUGCCGCCAACUGGAGACGGUGGAUGGGAAGGGGCAUGGAUGGGACUCCGAAGAUGCAGUCUCUGCCUGUAACUCACUGUGUGACCUUUGGCUAGUGUCUCGCCCUUUCUCUCCCUAUCAGCACCACCAGGGAGUUGGAGUGGGUCAUUCCUAAGGGUCCUUCUUGCUCUGACACGCUGAGAUCCCCCUUAAACCCCAGGGCUGACAUUACUGUUACCCUCAUGCGAGUCAGUGGCAUCAGCGGAGCUGCAGCAUCGCCUGACAGCCUGUCUGAAAGGCUGCAUCUCAGCUCCUGCUCCAGACCCACAGAAUUGGAAUCUGCAUUUUUAAGAAGUAUUUAUUUAUUGGGACUUCCCUGGUGACUCAGUGGUAAAGAGUCUGCCUGCCAAUGCAAGAGAUGCAGGUUUGAUCCCUGGCCUGGGAAGAUCCCACGUGCCACAGAGCAACCAAGCCCCUGCCCCACAAAUACUGAGCCUAGGCUCUGGAGCCCAGAAACGGCAACAACUGAGCCCACGUGCCACAACUUCUGAAGCUCACGCGCCUGCAGCCCAUGCUCUGGAACGAGGGAAGCCACCACAAUGAGAAGCCCUCACACCGUAACUAGAGAGUCACCCCAAUUGCAGAAAAAGCCCGCACAGCAACAAAGACCCUGCACAGUGAAAAAUAAAUAAAUAUUUUUUUUAGAAUUAAAAAAAUGUUUAAUUAAUUUAUUUGGCUGCCUCAGGUCUUAGUUGCAGCGGGUGGGAUCUCUUAGCUGCAGUAUGUGGGAUCUAGUUCCCUGACCAGGGUUUGAACCUGGGCCUCCAGUGCUGGGAGUGCCGAGUCUUAGCCAUUGGACCAGGAAAGUCCCAGAAUCUGCACUUUUAAAAAGAUGGUCGGUAAUGCAUGUGUGCAUUCAAGUGUGAGAAGCGCUGCUAUAACCACCUUCCCGCCCUUCUCUUUGGGCUGUGGUGGAAAAGUAAGCAGAGGAUUGCGUGCAGAGUGUGAAAGGAAGGUGUCUGCACACCCUCCUCUGGACCCAAGUCUCUCCCUCUACCUGGCAGAGAGAGACCCCCUUCAGGCGAGAGUGAUGGAGCCCAGAACGUAUCAGGGACCCAGGGGAGAUUUUUUGAAUGUGUGGCCUCACAUGUAGUUUAAUAGCUGUGAAUGAAGAAGGAAGUGGAACUGACUUGACUCAGUACCUUUUAUGAGUGGUGGAGCUUGGAACAGACCAAGCCAGGUUCCAAUUUUGGAUCUAUGUGUUCUAGCUUUGGGGCUUUAGACAAAACAUUUCUUUGAGCCUCAGCUUCCUUCCCUGGGAAAUGGAUUUAAUAAUAGCACCAACUUCAGAGGGUUGUGGUCAGACUUCAGUGAGUUGAUAUAGGGGAAGUGCUUAGCACAGUGCCUGGCACAUAGUAAGCUGUUAAUAAUGUUGCCCAUUACUUCACUACUACUGCUAUUCCAGCCCCUGUCCACAAGCUCCAGGUACUGUCCUAACCCCCUUCCUGGGACUGCAUUGAAUUUCAUGAGAAUUGUUGUUCACUUGCUAAGUUGUGUCCGACUUUUUGUGACCCCAUGAACUGCAGCACACCAGGCUUCCCUGUAUUUCACUAUCUCCCAGAGUCUGCUCACAUAGUAAUGCCAUCCAACCAUCCCAUCUUCUGUCGCCCCCUUUUCCUCUUUCCCUCAGUCUUUCUCAGCAUCAGGGUCUUUUCCAAUGAGUCGGCUCUUCACACCAGGCCAAAGUACUGGAGCUUCAGCUUCAGCAUCAGUCCUUCCAUUGAAUUUUCACGGUUGAUUUUAUUUAGGAUUGACUGGUUUGAUCUCCUUGCUGUCCAAGGGACUCUCAAGAGUCUUCUCCAGCACCACAGUUCAAAAGCAGUAAUUCUUUGGCGUUCAGCCUUCUUUACGGUCCAACUCACAUCUGUACAUGACUGCUGGAAAAACCAUAGCUUGACUAUAGACCUUUGUUGGCAAAGUGAUAUCCCUGGUUUUUAAUAUAUUGCCUAGGUUUGUCAUAGCAUUUCUUCCAAGGAGCAAGGGUCUCUUAAUUUCACGGCUACAGUCAUUGUCCGCAGUGAUUUUGAAGCCCAAGAAAAUAAAGUCUGUCACUGUUUCCAUUGUUUCCCCAUCUAUUUGCCAUGAAGUGAUGAGACUGGAUGCCAUGAUCUUUGUUCUUUGAAUGUUGAGUUUUAAGCCAGCUUUUUCACUCUCCUCUUUCACCCUCAUCGGGAGGCUCUUUAGAUCCUUUUUGCUUUCUCCCAUAAGGGUGGUGUCAUCUGCAUAUCUGAGGUUAUUGAUAUUUUUCCUGGCAAUCUUCAUUCCAGCUUGUGCUUCAUCCAGCCUGGCAUUUUGCAUGAUGUACUCUUCAUAAAAGUUAAAUAAGUAGGGUGACAAUGUAUAUACAGCCUUGACGUACACCUUUUCCAAUUUUGAGCCAGUCCAUCGUUCCAUAUCUGGUUAUAACUGUUGCUUAUUGGCCUGCAUACAGGUUUCUCAGGAGACAGGUCAGGUGGUCUGGUAUUCCCAUCUCUUUCAGAAUUUUCUACAGUUGUGAUCCACACAGUCAAAGGCUUUAGUGUGGUCAAUGAAGCAGAUGUUUUUUGAAAUUCCUUUGCUUUUUCUGUGAUCCAUAGGAUGUUGGCAAUUUGAUCUCUGGUUCCUCAGCCUUUUCUAAAUCCUGCUUGAACAUCUGGAAGCUCUCGGUUCACAUACUGUUGAAGCCUAGCUUGAAGGAUUUUCAACAUUACCUUACUAGCAUGUGAAAUGAGCACAAUUGUAUGGUAGUUGAAACAUUCUUUGGCAUUGCCUUUAUUUGGUAUUGGAAUGAAAACUGACCUUUUCCAGUUCUGUGGCUACUGCUGAGUUUUCCAAAUUGGCUGUCAUAUUGAGUGCAGCACUUUAACAGCAUCAUCUUUUAAGAUCUGAAAUAGCUCGACUGGAAUUCCAUCACCUUCACUAGCUUUGUUCGUGGUAAUGCUUCCUAAGGUCCUCUUGACUUCACAUUCCAGGAUGUCUGGCUCUAGGAGAGUGACCACGCCUUCGUGGUUAUUUGGAUCAUUAAAUCCUCUUUGUAUAAUUCUUCUCUGUGUUCUUGCCACCUCUUCUUAAUCUCUUCUGCUUCUGUUAGGUCGUUCCUUGCCAUUUCUGUCCUUUUUUGUGCUCAUCUAUGCAUGAAAUAUUCCCACCCCUCCAAUUUUCUUGAAGAGAUCUCUAGUCUUUCCCUUUCUAUUGUUUUUCUCUAUUUCUUUACACUGUUCACUUAAGAAGGCUUUCUUAUCUCUCAUUCCUAUUCUUUGGAACUCUGCAUUCAGUUGGGUAUAUCUUUCCCUUUCUUCUUUGCCUUUCACUUCUCUUCUUAGCUGUUUAAGGCUUCCUCUGCUGCUGCUGCUAAGUCGCUUCAGUCGUGGCCGACUCUGUGCAACCCCAUACACGGCAGCCCACCAGGCUCCCCUGUCCCUGGGAUUCUCCAGGCAAGAACAAUGGAGUGGGUUGCCAUUUCCUUCUCCAAUGCAUGAAAGUGAAAAGUGAAAGUGAAGUCGCUCAGUCGUGUCCGACUCUUAGCGACCCCAUGGACUGCAGCCCACCAGGCUCCUCCGUCCCUGGGGUUUUCCAGGCGAAAGGACUGGAGUGGGGUGCCAUCACCACUUUGCCUACUUGGCAUUUCUUUUUCUUUUUUGAGACAACAGUCCCAAAGUGACCCCUAGGGGGCGAUACCACCCCUGUGAUAUUGCUUUUGUUUUUAUGUUUUUGUUUUUUGGCAUAUCCCAGACCAGGGAUUGAGCCAGCUUACCCUGCAUUGGAAAGCGAAGUCUUAACCACUGGGCAACCAGGGAAGACCCCACAGAUGUAAUUGUAGAUCUAGAAAAUUUAGAGGUAACCACUUUAAA
ensembl:lncRNA